rnacentral:tmRNA from 1 species
GGGGCUGUUUUUGGAUUUGACAAAAUUAUCAACAAAGUAAAGUGCAUGCCGAGGAACGGUUUGCCUCGAUAAAAGCCGUAAAAAAAUAAUUGCAAAUAAUAAACAAAACUACGCUUUAGCAGCUUAAAAAACUGAAUAAAGCCCUUCCUUCUUAUCCUCCUUCUCUUAGGAUGAGAAAACAGGAAGGUCAGAAAAAGAGAAAAACGUGGAUAUCAAGCUUGACGAUAACACGAAGUAGUUUUUUCAAGCUAUAUACCUAAUAUGUGUUUUUCCAAAUUAGGUAAUGAAUUC